CGGUUAGUCAGAUGCACUCUUUCUCCUAGUGGUAAAAAAAUAAAUACGAUACUCUGGAUAACCUCCCGGGUGAAAUGCUCACCGAUAUCCGUGCGCUUGCGGAUCAAUUCCUUAUUGCGUUCCCAAAUAUCAACAAGCAUUUCUGGCGCCGUUGCCGGGGAGAAAGACGGUUGCUGAGAUAACCUGUGUCUUGCUAUUAGCUUGUAUCUAUACUUUUAUCUUUUUUAUC
rnacentral:lncRNA from 1 species